rnacentral:sRNA from 1 species
UCCACGAUGAUUGUAAGUUUCCUGAGGCCUCCCUAGCCCUGCGGAACUACCACAGAUGACAUCCUUGUGGCGUCAGCAGAGUGUCCCAGCGAUGAUGAGGACAUUGACCCCUGUGAGCCGAGCUCAGGUGGGUUAGCCAACCCAACCCGAGCAGGCGGCAGAGAGCCAUACCCAGGCUCAGCAGAAGUGAUCCGGGAGUCCAGCAGCACCACGGGUAUGGUCGUUGGGAUAGUAGCUGCUGCCGCCCUGUGCAUCCUUAUCCUCCUCUAUGCCAUGUACAAGUACAGAAACCGGGAUGAAGGCUCAUACCAUGUGGAUGAGAGUCGAAACUACAUCAGUAACUCAGCACAGUCCAAUGGGGCUGUCGUAAAGGAGAAACAACCCAGCAGUGCGAAAAGCUCCAACAAAAAUAAGAAAAACAAGGAUAAAGAGUAUUAUGUCUGAUCCCAAGAUCUUAAAUGGACACUUGUAUAGAAAUAGUCUUCAUUUUAUCUGAGACAUAAUAUAAACUUAUUUACUUUCCUUUUUAUGAAGCACAUACAAAAGAAGACAGGGAAUGCAAUCAGGAAGGAAAGACUUUUUAAAAAAUAAAAAGUAUCUCAUGCUCUUGUUUCUCAAAAAAGAAAAACAAAAAACAAAAAACAGGGGCCAAUAAAUUCCCUAACAUCCACAGUGUUUUCAUUUACUCUGCUUGUCUUUAUGUUGCUGGAACAUUUCUAAAAGACAGUGAUGACCGCACGCAUUCAUAAAGCAA